UGUUAAAACUCUAACCUUCUUGGCGCCUCAGUUUCAAAGCUCUCAAAAAAAAUUAUGUAAAAGAACGAUCAGCCAAUGUUGAUUUGUAUGAUGCCACAUGAGUCUUCUUCACCAUUAUCUUUGAGGGUUUUUUUUCUUUCUUAUUUUUCUUCUUUCUUUGGGUCCGCACUUUCCACAGGGAACCCACUUUAGGCUUUAGCCCACUCUCUCUCUCUCUUGAUCAUCUUCUUACUGAGCUCUCUUUCUUUGUUUGUGGAGAGAGUCACUCUCCCUAUGGUUUCUCUCUCAAAAAGAAUAUAUUCUUUGCUUUAUAGCUUUUAGUAGGUGGGUUUGAUUUUUUUAUCUCUAAAGCUCCAAAGAAGAUGCCAAAGUUCCCCUCCAACUCCGGACCAUUAAACUCAAAUACCCAUUUGAUUUAAAGCUCUAUCUUUUUCUUUUCUUUUCUUUUCCUUCUCUAUCUCUCACUCAAAAUCUUGAAGCUUGAGAAGAAGAACAAAGUAUUCUUCUUCUUUAUGCUUCUUACUUAGUCUUUUUGUGCUCAUUUUUUGGUUCUCUGGUGUUGUGUAAGUAAAAAAGAAUUGAUUUUUUAGGUUCACCAUCAUCAGAAGAAGGAGAAGACCAGAAAAGAAAAUGAAUGGUUCGAUUCUUGAUGGUAUAAUUAAUAGGCUUCUUGAAGUUAGAACAAAUCUUGAGAAGCAAGUCCAGCUUUCAGAGACUGAGAUUAAGAAACUUUGCUUUGUUUCUAGAGAUAUUUUCUUGAGACAGCCCAUUCUCUUGGAGCUUGAAACACCUGUUAAAAUUUGUGGUUAAGGAAAAUGAGUUUGGUAGUUCUAUGGAAGCAUCAAAUUGUGUCAAACAGGAAUGAUUGUUGUUGGAACUAAAAACAACAAUGAAAUGAAAAGAGCCUUCAAGAGGGAGCAUGAAGUGGAAUUACUGCCAACUUCUUUAUAUAUGUAAAUAUGAACUAAAAGUACAAUUUUUGA